UCAAACUUGGUCAUUUAGAGGAAGUAAAAGUCGUAACAAGGUCUCCGUUGGUGAACCAGCGGAGGGAUCAUUACUGAGUUAUCACAACUCCCAACCCAUGUGAACUUACCUACUGUUGCCUCGGCAGGGCCCUCCGGGGGGAGGUCAUCGCGACCCCUCUCCCGCUGGCGGCCUGCCGGUGGACUACUAAACUCUUGUUUUUUUGUGGAACUCUGAGUAACAAAACAUAAUAAUCAAAACUUUCAACAACGGAUCUCUUGGUUCUGGCAUCGAUGAAGAACGCAGC
rnacentral:misc_RNA from 1 species